UACGUAGGGGGCAAGCGUUGUCCGGAUUUAUUGGGCGUAAAGCGCGUGUAGGCGGCCAGGUAGGUCCGCUGUGAAAACUCGAGGCUCAACCUCGAGACGUCGGCGGAAACCGUCUGGCUAGAGUCCGGAAGAGGAGAGUGGAAUUCCUGGUGUAGCGGUGAAAUGCGCAGAUAUCAGGAAGAACACCUAUGGCGAAGGCAGCUCUCUGGGACGGUACUGACGCUGAGACGCGAAAGCGUGGGGAGCGAACAGG
rnacentral:rRNA from 1 species